ensembl:snRNA U6 U6 spliceosomal RNA
GUGUUUGCUUUGGCAGCACAUAUACUAAAAUUGGAAUAAUACAGAGAAAAUUAGCAUGGCCCUCAUACAAGGAUAACACACAAAUUUGUAAAAUUCAUUCAGAUUUA